UCAGGAUGAACGCUGGCGGCGUGCCUAACACAUGCAAGUCGAACGAAGCACUUUCCCGAGGAAGAGGCGUGCUUGCACAAAUCGGACUCAAUUAAAGUGACUUAGUGGCGGACGGGUGAGUAACGCGUGGGUAACCUGCCUUAUACAGGGGGAUAACAGUUAGAAAUGACUGCUAAUACCGCAUAAGCGCACGGUAUCGCAUGAUACAGUGUGAAAAGCGUAACGGUAUAAGAUGGACCCGCGUCUGAUUAGCCAGUUGGUGAGGUAACGGCUCACCAAAGCGACGAUCAGUAGCCGGCCUGAGAGGGUGAACGGCCACAUUGGGACUGAGACACGGCCCAAACUCCUACGGGAGGCAGCAGUGGGGGAUAUUGCACAAUGGGGGAAACCCUGAUGCAGCCGACGCCGCGUGAGUGAUGAAGUAUUUCGGUAUGUAAAGCUCUAUCAGCAGGGAAGAAAAUGACGGUACCUGACUAAGAAGCCCCGGCUAACUACGUGCCAGCAGCCGC
rnacentral:rRNA from 1 species